ACAGUCGGGCUUGCCUGACUGUUAGUGGCGGACGGCUGAGUAACGCGUAGGUGACCUGCCCCGAAGUGGGGAAUAACUGCCCGAAAGGGUGGCUAAUACCGCAUGUGGCGCCAUGUUCAAUCGUGGCUCCAAAGCCGCAAGGCGCUUCGGGAGGGGCCUGCGUCCGAUUAGCUCGUAGGUGGUUUUUCGGCUCACCAAGGGGGAGAUCGGUAGCCGAUCUGAGAGGAUGACCGGCCACACUUACUCCUUACACGNUGAUGACUCCUACGUGACGUCGGUUGGAUGAUUCU
rnacentral:misc_RNA from 1 species